GCUGCCAGCCGCGCUCGGCCGCCCCCGGGUGCGAUGGGCGCCGGGGCGAUCGAGGCUGCAGCGGCCGCCGGUGCUGUCGCUGAGCAGCCGCAGCCCCGCCGCUCUAGCCUGGAACCCGCAGCCCUGGGCCCGCCGCACCCUGCCCACCCUCUGCGCGGCCCCUCUCCAGCCCCGCCCGGGGCUGGAAGCUGACCCCACCCGGGAGAGGUCCCCGUGGCGACUCUGCUGCGGCGGCGGGGGUUCCGAAGCCUAAGACUGACUGGGGUUUUGCUUCAGUGGCGAUGAACCCUCCUCCAUGGGUUGUGUUUGUUUGUUAUGACUGCAAGGACAGGAUUGCCCUCCCGCCUUCUCACCGACGCCUAAGCCCUUAGGUGACCCCUGCGGUAGGUAGACGGGAAAGCCGCUUUCCAACCCCAGCCCCGGUGCCACCUCGGACAGACGAACACCAGGUUAGCCCGAGAGACCACGACGGCAAGUUCUCUGACAUAAUCAGGAACGUCUAUUGCGAGAUUGGACUUUGCCUCCCACUGGGCAGAGCACCUUUUGAGGAUCCUGCUUCCUACUUUGUCUGUAGUCGUGGAGGUUCAACAUGCAUUCUCCAGCAUAGACGGCCACUUCAAAAGCAAGGAAACGGAAGAAGAUAAUCCAAACCCAAUAAUGUGAAAAAAACAUAUACCCGACAUCCCCACCUGGAGUCUAGUCGCCAUUUCAGAGUGGGCGUGGCCAAAACUGGUUCCAUUUCUCUUUCCCCAAACAUACUCCAUUCAUAGCCUUCGCCAUCCCAAUUAAUAACACAGUAUUAUCACCAUCCAGGUCUGGGGCACCCUAGGAUCUCCUUAGUUUCUUUCUCAUCUAUGCAACAAACCUGCUGGCUGGACUUUCAAAGUGCUGAUCGAUAUGUAUCCCGGUUUCUACCACAUUUCCCCAUGAUCCUGGCCCAAAGCAAUAUUAUCCUCUAACGGCACUUUGCAAAAGUCACAUCCCUGGUACCUGCUUUGUUUUGCCUUUCCUCCCAGGAGCCCAUUUUCAUUACAACAGCCAGACGGAUUCUUCUCGUGCCCACUUGAGUCACUUCUUAGCGUCUGUGGCAUUCACCCCAAAAACCUAGACCUCUGUGAGCCUGGAUGACCCCUGACCCUAGCCCCCUGUCCUGACCUCUCUCUGACCUUGUCAAACGUCUGUGUUCCCCACCCGUCUCCUCAGUCCAGAGAAAUAAGCAAAUGCUGGUCUCCUGGCCUCUUCCUGCCGCUUUCCUUCUCUGUUCUCUGCCUUGCCAUUCCGCCCACGCCACCCAAGAAAAAGAAAACACCGGGGCAGCUGGAAUGCUGCUUCUCACCUCCUCCAGUCUUCUCUCAGACAUCUUUACUCAGAUGUCUUUUUCCUCAGAGUUGGACUGCCUAUCCUCCUGGCUUCCUUCACCGCCUCAAGACCUACAUAUUAUGUCUUAUUUGUUGUUGACUCCCUCCACUGUAAUGUCAGCUGUGAAAGUCAGUAACUUUUAUUUAUUUUGUUGACUGCUAUAUCCUUACUAUGUCAACUGGUAUUAUUGGAUGGACACAUGAAUUAGUAACUCAAGCGCCUUAUAUUUGUAUUAUAUAUAUAAUGUACUAUAUAUAUAUACAUAUACAUAUAUAAUCUCACCUGUAUUGUGGGAAGUGGAGGCCUCAAGAGGGAACAAGCCCCCCCCCCGACUGUUUCCUGUUCUACGAAAAGAAAGCAUUUGCAAACCCUGAAGAUUUACGAGUAUCAACUACAGCGCAUGCGAAGCCUCUUGCAUAGUGUUUGAGCCAUCGUCUGAAGUCCACAGACAGCUGUUAUUUCUAAGGUCGUUCUCAUCGUCUCCACCUUUUGAGGUUUGUGGACAGUUAUUAUCAUCCUGUUUACAGAUGGGGAAACUGGCAAUAGGAUGGGCUGUGUGUGUUGCCCUACUUCCUGGCCUGCCCUUAGCUUUGGAGUGAUCUGGGGCAAGCUAACAGCAAGUGACCCUUAGACCCCAUCGUAAGCCCUGGGAGCUAGAAGCGAAGCAGGUAGUCUGCUGUAGGGAGUGUGGACUGCUGGGCUACACACCGCAUUCCUCUUCAACCUGCCUCUGCUGCGUCCCAUCCCACACAAGGACUCACAUUUGAGAGCAGCCAAGUGUGGAGUUAAACCGUACCACGCCCCUCACAAAAGUCACCCACAGCCUCUCCCCAAGACACUUUGUAGUUAUGGUUGGUAAGGCCAGAAAGUAGCAAGGCAGGAAGGUCUGGGGUUGUGGAGUUCAGAUUUUGUGAAAUUGCUUGUCUGUGGAAAAGGAUGGAAUUUACAGAGGGACCUGCAAAGUAUGGGCUCGGGCCAGGAACAUCCUCAGCCGUAUCUCAGCCAGAAAAUUGUGAGUUCCAGCUUCAAAGCCCUCUUGUCUUCCCUCCCCUCCCCCCUAUAUCUCUCUGUCUUCCCCUCCCCUCCUCCCCCCCCUUCUCUCAACACCCCACUGUGAUACUGAACUAUACCAGUGACCUUAGGUAUGGCCUAAUAGUAUGCCUUGUGCACCAACAAAAUGACUAACUCAGGUUCAACUUCUAAGCUAUCAUUUGACAUCAAUUAAAGCUAAUAUCCUCGCUAUUUA